rnacentral:rRNA from 1 species
UACGUAGGGGGCGAGCGUUGUCCGGAAUGACUGGGCGUAAAGGGCGUGUAGGCGGUUUUUUAAGUCUGGAGUGAAAGUCCUGCUUUCAAGGUGGGAAUUGCUUUGGAGACUGGAGGACUAGAGUGCGGAAGAGGUAAGUGGAAUUACCAGUGUAGCGGUAAAAUGCGUAGAUAUUGGUAAGAACACCGGUGGCGAAGGCGACUUACUGGGCCGUAACUGACGCUGAGGCGCGAAAGCGUGGGGAGCGAAC